rnacentral:lncRNA from 1 species
UCGAGGAAGGUGGAGGCGCCGCGGGUCGUCCUGCUCCGGCACCGAGGUGUCGCUGGUGGACGAGGCUCGCGCGUACGUGCAGGGCUCCGUCGUCGGCGAUCAUGGCCGUGGCUAGUUUUGGCCGUAGUUCGCACGGCCGCCGCGUGGGUGCGUAGGUAGCGACGUAGCCGACGAGCUUCAGAGGUAGACCAGAUUCAGUAGUACUAUGUUUUUU